rnacentral:tRNA from 1 species
GGACCGGUGGUGGAAUUGGCAUACACAUCAGCCUUAAGAGCUGAUGCCAUUUAUGGAUUGAGGGUUCGACUCCCUCCCGGUCUA